GCCGGCGUAGCUCAGUCGGCAGAGCGAGGCACUCGUAAUGCCUAGGUCGCGGGUUCAAGUCCCGCCGCCGGCU
rfam:Hydrogenivirga sp. 128-5-R1-1 1102927038516, whole genome shotgun sequence.